rnacentral:rRNA from 1 species
CCUACGGGUGGCAGCAGUGAGGAAUAUUGGUCAAUGGCCGGAAGGCUGAACCAGCCAAGCCGCGUGAAGGACGAAGGUGUCAAGCAUUGUAAACUUCUUUUGUCAAGGGACAAAAUCAGGCUCGAGAGCCUGACCGCGGGUACUUGAAGAAAAAGCAUCGGCUAACUCCGUGCCAGCAGCCGCGGUAAUACGGAGGAUGCGAGCGUUAUCCGGAUUUAUUGGGUUUAAAGGGUGCGUAGGCGGACUGUUAAGUCAGCGGUAAAAGCCCGGGGCUCAACCCAGUAGGGCAAAAGAUACUGCAAAGCUAGAGUAUGACAGAGGCAAGUGGAACUACAUGUGUAGCGGUAAAAUGCGUAAAUAUAUGUAAGAACACCAGUGGCGAAGGCGGCUUGCUGGGUCGAUACUGACAUUGAGGCACGAAAGCGUGGGGAGCAAACAGGAUUAGAUACCCUGGUAGUC